UCUCCGUUGGUGAACCAGCGGAGGGAUCAUUACAGAGUUUAUUAUAACUCCUAAACCCAUGUGAACCUACCUUCUGUUGCCUCGGCAGGCAAGUCGUAUCUUGCUACCCUAUAGGACCCUAUCUUGUAAGACGUUACCUUAUAAGGUCCUAUCCGGUAGAGAGAUGCGGUACUACCUGCCGGUGGACUGAAAAAAAAAUUCUGUUUAAUAAAUGGUAUUCCGAAUCAUUAUAUGGAAAUUAAGUUAAAACUUUCAACAACGGAUCUCUUGGUUCUG
rnacentral:misc_RNA from 1 species